UGGGGAAUAUUGCACAAUGGGGGAAACCCUGAUGCAGCGACGCCGCGUGAGCGAUGAAGUAUUUCGGUAUGUAAAGCUCUAUCAGCAGGGAAGAAAUGACGGUACCUGACUAAGAAGCCCCGGCUAACUACGUGCC
rnacentral:rRNA from 1 species